UACGAAGGGGGCUAGCGUUGCUCGGAAUCCCUGGGCGUAAAGGGUGCGUAGGCGGGUCUUUAAGUCAGGGGUGAAAUCCUGGAGCUCAACUCCAGAACUGCCUUUGAUACUGAAGAUCUUGAGUGCGGGAGAGGUGAGUGGAACUGCGAGUGUAGAGGUGAAAUUCGUAGAUAUUCGCAAGAACACCAGUGGCGAAGGCGGCUCACUGGCCCGAUACUGACGCUGAGGCACGAAAGCGUGGGGAGCAAACAGG
rnacentral:rRNA from 1 species